rnacentral:rRNA from 1 species
AUACGAAGGUGGCUAGCGUUGUUCGGAAUUACUGGGCGUAAAGCGCGCGUAGGCGGACUGAUCAGUUGGGGGUGAAAUCCCAGGGCUUAACCCUGGAACUGCCUCCAAUACUGUCAGUCUUGAGUUCGGGAGAGGUGAGUGGAAUUCCUAGUGUAGAGGUGAAAUUCGUAGAUAUUAGGAAGAACACCAGUGGCGAAGGCGGCUCACUGGCCCGAUACUGACGCUGAGGCGCGAAAGCGUGGGGAGCAAACAGGAUUAGAUACCCUAGUAGUCC